AACGAACGUUAGCGGCGCGCCUAACACAUGCAAGUCGAGCGAGAAGGAAGCAAUUCCUGUAAAGCGGCGCACGGGUGAGUAACACGUAGGUAAUCUACCUCGAAGUGGUGGAUAACCUUCCGAAAGGAGGGCUAAUACAGCAUGAGACCACGGUUUCGAAAGAGAUUGAGGUCAAAGCGGGCCACUAUACAUAAGCUCGCGCUUCGAGAUGAGCCUGCGGCCCAUCAUGGUAGUUGGUAGGGUAAUGGCCUACCAAGCCGAAGACGGGUAGCUGGUCUGAGAGGAUGAUCAGCCACACUGGAACUGAGACACGGUCCAGACUCCUACGGGAGGCAGCAGUGGGGGAAUCUUGCGCAAUGGGCGAAAGCCUGACGCAGCGACGCCGCGUGAGUGAUGAAGGCCUUC
rnacentral:rRNA from 1 species